GUAGAUACCUCUAGUACUGAUACAUGUACUGUAUGGUGUCAGUGGUGUCAGUGGUGUCAGUCAGUGGUGUCAGUCAGUGGUGUGUGUGUGUGGUGUCAGUGGUGUCAGUGGGGUGUGUGUGUGUCAAUGGUGUCAGUGAUGUCAGUGGUGUGUGUGGUGUGUGUGUGUGUGUGUGUGUGUGUGUGUGGUGUCAGUGGUGUCAGUGGUGUCAGUGGUGUGUGUGUGUGUGUGUGUGUGUGUGUGUGUGUGUGUGUGUGUGGUGUCAGUGGUGUCAGUGGUGUGUGUGUGUGGUGUCAGUGGUGUGUGUGUGGUGUCAGUGGUGUGUGUGGUGUCAGUGGUGUCAGUGGUGUCAGUGGUGUCAGUGGUGUGUGUGUGUGUGGUGUCAGUGGUGUCAGUGGUGUGUGUGUGUGUGUCAGUGGUGUGUGUGUGUGUGUGUGUGUGUUAGUGGUGUGUGUGUGGUGUCAGUGAUAUCAGUGGUGUGUGUGUGUGUGUGUGGUGUCAGUGGUGCCAGUGGUGUCAGUGGUGUCAGUGGUGUGUGUGUGUGUGUCAGUGGUGUGUGUGUGGUGUCAGUGGUGUGUGUGGUGUGUGUGUGGUGUGGUGUGUGUGGGGUCUGUGGUGUGUGUGUGGUGUCAGUGGUGUCGGUGGUGUCAGUGGUGUGUGUGUGUGGUGUCAGUGGUGUGUGUGUGUGUGUGUGGUGUCAGUGGUGUCAGUGGUGUCAGUGGUGUGUGUGUGUGUGUGAUGUGUGUGGUGUCAGUGGUGUGUGUGUGUGUGUGGUGUCAGUGGUGUCAGUGGUGUGUGUGUGUGUGUGUGUGUGUGUGUGUGUGUGUGUGUGUGUGUGUGUGUGUGUGUGUGUGUCCGUGGUGUGUGUGUGGUGUCAGUGGUGUGUGUGGUGUGGUGUGUGUGUGGGGUCUGUGGUGUCAGUGGUGUCAGUUGUGUCAGUUGUGUGUGUGUGUGUGUGUGUGUGUGUGUGUGUGUGUGUGUGUGUGUGUGUGUGUGUGUGUGUCAGUGUGGGGUCAGUGGGGUCAGUGGUGUCAGUGGGGUCAGUGGUGUCAGUGGUGUGUGUGUGUGUGGUGUCAGUGGUGUCAGUGGUGUC
ensembl:lncRNA